AUUGAACGCUGGCGGCGUGCCUUACACAUGCAAGUCGAACGGUAGCGGGCCUUCGGGUGCCGACGAGUGGCGAACGGGUGAGUAAUGUAUCGGAACGUACCUUUCAGUGGGGGAUAACGUAGCGAAAGUUGCGCUAAUACCGCAUAUUCUGUGAGCAGGAAAGCAGGGGAUCGCAAGACCUUGCGCUGAUUGAGCGGCCGAUAUCAGAUUAGCUAGUUGGUGAGGUAAAGGCUCACCAAGGCGACGAUCUGUAGCGGGUCUGAGAGGAUGACCCGCCACACUGGAACUGAGACACGGUCCAGGCUCCUACGGGAGGCAGCAGUGGGGAAUUUUGGACAAUGGGGGCAACCCUGAUCCAGCCAUGCCGCGUGAGUGAAGAAGGCCUUCGGGUUGUAAAGCUCUUUCGGCCGGGAAGAAAUCGUAUCAGCUAAUACCUGGUGCGGAUGACGGUACCGGCAUAAGAAGCACCGGCUAACUACGUGCCAGCCGCAGCGGUAAUAC
rnacentral:rRNA from 1 species